rnacentral:rRNA from 1 species
AGCGAACGCUGGCGGCAUGCCUAACACAUGCAAGUCGCACGGGUUGGCUUCGGUUGGUCAGUGUCGGGCGGGUGAGGAACGCGAAGCGUACUGUCCCCCGGCGGGGGCUAACCCCGGGACACUGCGGCUAAGACCGCAUCGGGCGCCGGUCGGAGUGCCGGUGGCAUAGGCGCGAAUCGAGCGGUGUGGGUCGCCGGGGGGUUGGCGUGCGUCCGCUUGGUUGGUGGGCGGGGUCGUGGCCCACCAAGGCGUCGAUCGGUAGCUGGUCUGAGAGGGUGACCAGCCAGACUGGGACAGAGACACGACCCAGACUCGUACGGGAGGCGGCAGUGGGGAAUAUUGGACGAUGGGCGCAAGACUGAUCGAGCAAUGCCGCGUGAGUGAGGAAGGUGUUCGGAAUGUAGAGCCCUUUCGGCGGGGACGAUGGUGACAGUACCCGAAGAAGAAGGCCCGGCUAACUUCGUG